UGGGGGAUUUUGCACAAUGGGCGCAAGCCUGAUGCAGCGACGCCGCGUGAGGGAUGAAGGCCUUCGGGUUGUAAACCUCUUUCGCUGGGUUGAAAGGCCAUGCCUUGGGUGUGGUUGAUUUGAACUGGUAAAGAAGUACCGGCUAACUACGUGCCAGCAGCCGCGGUAAUACGUAGGGUACUAGCGUUGUCCGGAUUUAUUGGGCGUAAAGGGCUUGUAGGUGGUUUGUCGCGUCUGUCGUGAAAUCCUGUGGCUUAACCAUGGGCUUGCGGUGGGUACGGGCAGGCUUGAGUGCGGUAGUGGAGCAUGGAAUUCCUGGUGUAGCGGUGGAAUGCGCAGAUAUCAGGAGGAACACCGGUGGCGAAGGCGGGUCUCUGGGCCGUUACUGACACUGAGGAGCGAAAGCGUGGGGAGCGAACAGG
rnacentral:rRNA from 1 species